GUUUUUAUAAUGUAAAUAUAACAUAUAGUCCUUUCAAGACUAAACUAACAAUUGUUUAAAAACG
rnacentral:tRNA from 1 species